rnacentral:rRNA from 1 species
CGGAGGGGCUAGCGUUGUUCGGAAUUACUGGGCGUAAAGCGCACGUAGGCGGACCGGAAAGUCAGAGGUGAAAUCCCAGGGCUCAACCUUGGAACUGCCUUUGAAACUAUCGGUCUGGAGUUCGAGAGAGGUGAGUGGAAUUCCGAGUGUAGAGGUGAAAUUCGUAGAUAUUCGGAGGAACACCAGUGGCGAAAGGCGGCUCACUGGCUCGAUACUGACGCUGAGGUGCGAAAGCGUGGGGAGCAAACAGGAUU